rnacentral:piRNA from 1 species
UAUUGAUAAAAAGUGCUAACGAUCAUCUGA